rnacentral:rRNA from 1 species
GAUGAACGCUGGCGGCGUGCUUAACACAUGCAAGUCGGACGGGAAACCUUUUAUUGAAGCUUCGGCAGAUUUAGCUGGUUUCUAGUGGCGGACGGGUGAGUAACGCGUGGGUAACCUGCCUUAUACAGGGGGAUAACAGUCAGAAAUGGCUGCUAAUACCGCAUAAGCGCACAGAGCUGCAUGGCUCAGUGUGAAAAACUCCGGUGGUAUAAGAUGGACCCGCGUUGGAUUAGCUGGUUGGUGGGGUAACGGCCCACCAAGGCGACGAUCCAUAGCCGGCCUGAGAGGGUGAACGGCCACAUUGGGACUGAGACACGGCCCAGACUCCUACGGGAGGCAGCAGUGGGGAAUAUUGCACAAUGGGGGAAACCCUGAUGCAGCGACGCCGCGUGAAGGAAGAAGUAUCUCGGUAUGUAAACUUCUAUCAGCAGGGAAGAUAAUGACGGUACCUGACUAAGAAGCCCCGGCUAACUACGUG